UACGGGGGGGGCAAGCGUUGUUCGGAAUUACUGGGUGUAAAGGGUUUGUAGGUGGCUUAUUAAGUCAGACGUGAAAUCCCUCAGCUUAACUGGGGAACUGCGUCUGAUACUGGUUGGCUCGAGUGCAGGAGAGGAACGCGGAAUUCCAGGUGUAGCGGUGAAAUGCGUAGAUAUCUGGAGGAACACCGGUGGCGAAGGCGGCGUUCUGGACUGCAACUGACACUGAAAAACGAAAGCCAGGGGAGCAAACGGG
rnacentral:rRNA from 1 species